CAUAACCCUUCCAAUAUCCAAACCACCAUAUCCGUCCCACGCCCAUACCCCAAAUCCAUCCCGUAUCCAUAUCCCAAAUCCAUUCCAUAUCCAUAGCCCAUCCCAUAUCCGUAUCCCAUCCCAUAUCUCAUCCCCUAUCCAUAUCCCAUCCCAACUCCAUGCCAAAUCUUUCUAUAUCCAUAUCACCUUAUCCAUCCCAUAACCAUCCCAAAUCCAUCUCAAAUCCAUAUCUCAUCCCAAACCGAUCCCAUCUCCUUAUCCAUCCCAUAUCAAUGUCCCAUCCCUUAUCCAAUCCCAUACCCCAUCCUAAAGCCAUCCCACAUCCAUACCCCCACAUCCCAUAUCCUAUCCCCAUCCUGUACCCCAUGUCCCAUAUCCAUUUCCAUCCCACAGCCUUCCUGAAUCCAUAUCCCCACAUCCAUCCCGUGUCCACCCCAUAUCCAUUCCAUAUACCUAUCCCAUCCUAUGAUCAUCCCAAUCCCAUCCCAUAUCCAUAUCCCGUCCCAACUCCACCCCAUAUCGUUCCCAUACCUUUGCCAAGUCUGUUCCGUACCCGUAUACCCAGUUCCUGCAUCCCAAACCCAAUCCCAAUCCCACACCUCAUUCCCAAUCCCACACCUCAUUCCCAAUCCCACAUGCCAAUCCCGUAUCCCGCAUCCCAAUCCCUAUCCCGAAUCCCAAUGCCAAUCCCACAUCCCAGCCCCAUGUACCAUCCGUCAAUCCAUCGCAAUCCCAAAUCUCAUAUCCCAGUCCUAACCCCAAUCGCACACCCCUAAUCCCAAUCCCACACCCCUAAUCCCAAUCCCAACCCCUAUUGCAAUAGGGCGCACUCCGGGCCCCCCCCGCAGCUCUAUCCCGCCCCCGGCCUCUCAUUGGUCAGGUGCCGCUCUAUCCCGCCCCCGGCCUCUCAUUGGUCAGGUUCCGCUCUGUCCCGCCCCCAUCCUCUCAUUGGUCAGGUGCAGCUCUAUCCCGCCGCCGGCCUCUCAUUGGCUGAGAUGCAGCUCCGUCCCACCCCCGGCCUCUCAUUGGCUGAGUGUCUUCUCUAUCCCGGCCCCGGCCUCUGAUUGGCUGACGUGCAGCUCCGUCCCGCC
ensembl:lncRNA